UGAGGAACCUGCCCCGAAGACCGGGAUAACCCUCCGAAAGGAGAGCUAAUACCGGAUGCCCCACCAGAUCGCAUGGUCAGGUGAGGAAAUGGAUUCCGCUUCGGGAGGGCCUCGCGGCCUAUCAGCUAGUUGGUGGGGUAACGGCCCACCAAGGCAUCGACGGGUAGCUGGUCUGAGAGGACGAUCAGCCACACUGGGACUGAGACACGGCCCAGACUCCUACGGGAGGCAGCAGUAGGGG
rnacentral:rRNA from 1 species